rnacentral:tRNA from 1 species
GGAAAUGUGGCUAUGUGGUAGAGCGCUUGCCUAGCAUGCAUGAAGCCCUGGGUUCAAUUCCUCAGUACCA